rnacentral:rRNA from 1 species
UAAUCGUACCUUGUUGCUUCGGCGGGCCCGCCGUUUCGACGGCCGCCGGGGAGGCCUUGCGCCCCCGGGCCCGCGCCCGCCGAAGACCCCAACAUGAACGCUGUUCUGAAAGUAUGCAGUCUGAGUUGAUUAUCGUAAUCAGUUAAAACUUUCAACAACGGAUCUCUUGGUUCCGGCAUCGAUGAAGAACGCAGCGAAAUGCGAUAAGUAAUGUGAAUUGCAGAAUUCAGUGAAUCAUCGAGUCUUUGAACGCACAUUGCGCCCCCUGGUAUUCCGGGGGGCAUGCCUGUCCGAGCGUCAUUGCUGCCCUCAAGCACGGCUUGUGUGUUGGGCCCCCGUCCCCCUCUCCCGGGGGACGGGCCCGAAAGGCAGCGGCGGCACCGCGUCCGGUCCUCGAGCGUAUGGGGCUUUGUCACCUGCUCUGUAGGCCCGGCCGGCGCCAGCCGACACCCAACUUUAUUUUUCUAAGGUUGACCUCGGAUCAGGUAGGG